AGGUUCCUCUUAAAAUCCUCAGUCUCUCCAGAACCAACCCGGAUCACAACCUACAUGACACACUGCUCCAUCCUCUGACCGCCCGCUCUCAGCCGCUCACCUACUACAUCCAUUUCGGCUCCUACACCUCAGGACAAACCAACCACCUUUCCUGGAUAUCCUCAGCUCACCCGGACCAGACAACCCUCCCGGUGCAUUUAGUACUGCCAAGAAACAAAACCUCCUCCUGGAGUCCUGCUGCCAGUCCUGCAUCUCGUCGAGUCCCGAACCUCUGUUGCUCAUUAUUUCCAAAAAUAAAACCCUUUUUACUUA